rnacentral:rRNA from 1 species
UAGCGGAGGGUGCAAGCGUUAUCCGGAUUUACUGGGUUUAAAGGGUGCGCAGGCGGAUAUGUAAGUCAGUGGUGAAAUCGUCCGGGCUUAACCCGGAACUGCCGUUGAUACUAUAUAUCUUGAAUGCUGUGGAGGUAAGCAGAAUAUGUCAUGUAGCGGUGAAAAUGCUUAGAGAUGACAUAGAAUACCUAUUGCGAAGGCAGCUUACUACGCAGAUAUUGACGCUCAUGCACGAAAGCGUGGGGAUCAAACAGG